rnacentral:rRNA from 1 species
UAACGAAUCUUCCCCAAUGCACGAAAGUGUGAGGGAGCGACGCCGCGUGGAGGAUGAAGUCCUUCGGGAUGUAAACUCCUGUCAGGGGUUACCAAGUUCUGAGGAGCCCCAGAGGAAGGCACGGCUAACUCUGUGCCAGCAGCCGCGGUAAGACAGAGGUGCCAAGCGUUAGGCGGAAUCACUGGGCUUAAAGCGUGUGUAGGCGGACUUUUAAGUGUCUUGUGAAAUCCCACGGCUUAACCGUGGAACUGCUUGACAUACUGGGAGUCUUGAGCUGCCUAGGGGUCGCUGGAACAAACGGUGGAGCGGUGAAAUGCGUAGAUAUCUAAGGGAACGCCAGGGGCGAAAGCGGGUAACUGGGCUUGUCCUGACGCUGAGACGCGAAAGCGUGGGGAGCAAACA